UUGCCAGUACGCCACGCUCAUGAAGAUCAGUGGCCCGGUGUAGAGAAAAAUCAGUUUGACAAUGGUGAAGGUGACUUGACUUUCCUGGCUCCAGGAUAUGUCGCACUGCGUGAACAGUAUCGUUUUUACUUUAACGUGGGUGGGAGGGACUGUAUGCAGAACCACCAGAUCUGGAAUAUCUGUGGAAAAACAACUUCAAAAUGACCACUUUGAAAAGUACACGUUUUCCACAAAAAUAAUUAUUCUACAAUCUUUGAAUAUCUUCCGAGGUAGUCUCUAAAACGUCCUCACAGUCGUUAUCCGUCUUUGAAAUAGCAAAAUGAGGCUGCUUGUAGAAGACACUUACCAAAGAUAAGUGCGACGGCCCAGAUGCCGAUGGUAGCAGUCUUCGCUCUGGUGGUGGUCGACUUGAACCGCAAUGGGAAACAUAUUGCGUACCAUCGGUCUAUCGAUAUAAAAGUUAGAGUCAAUAUGCUCACGGUCACCGAGACUGUCUGAAACAAAAACGAAACGUUUCAGCGAAUAAACGUGCACCGGUUUACUUAGUAUUAACGAAGCAACGAGUUCGUUUCGACGAUCGUGGACCUUUAUCACCGGGUCACGUUCUCCGAGGAGGUUCAAAUCUGAAAGUUAGAGCGCGAACAUAGUAGCAUGGACGCUGUUGCACACGAUAGUCUGUGAAUGGAGAAGAAAAAAAAAAGGAAGAAAGAAUUAAUCGCCCUCAUUUGCGAUUCUAAUAACAUCGCUCGUGAAAUUUCCAUAACUUCCGGUCGCCGUGGCAUUUACAUUUUGUAUUGGAGAUUGGGGAGAGGAUAAGGGCCCCGAAACGUCAGCUGAAAUGGUCUCUAGGUGAACCAAAACGAAACUACGGCGAAGCAGGCAUUGUAAUAUGUGAACAAUCCCUGCUUUCAACACUGAGAUAUAGAACUUUAGUGUUUCUCCAAGUACAAGUCGAUGGAGAACGAGCCGAAUAAGCUGAACUCAAUUUUAAACAAGCUCUUAAAUGUUCUGCAGGGUUGCACGAUUUUUUGGCAAGCUUUAAUCUGUUCCGGAGAUCAGGCUCGGAAGCCUCCACAAUUUCUUGAUAAAGUGUCCUGCCAGUCGCUCCGGUGUUAGAGGGUUGAAAGUUCGAUGACACAAGGUGGUAAUAGGCCCGUAUUUCGUACAUUUUUAACUUCGAAGCCGAUUACGCGGUUUAUCCAUGGUUGGGCAAGGGCACGAAGCGUGUCAUGAAUAUAAAACGGACGCUCAGAGAAAUAUGGGCACAAAGUUCUGGUAGUUUCCGGCGAAAUUGAUAAAACUGUAGCCUGCUCCGACGCGCAACUCUUUCCUCUUGUUUUUAGUCAGAGGAUUUACUACUAUGUAUUCUCGGCUAAAGUUAUGCUUUUAUCGAGGUCGCUGUUCAUCGUAUUAAUCUGAUCGCGCGAGAACAAACUAAGCUCUCCGUUGUACCGAAAGAUUAAUCGGCUUCUUAUUUGGUUCUCGUUAGGCAAAUUGCAAUCGAGACCGGUUUAGUUUUUGGAGCGUCGGACGUAACGAGACGUGUGACAGCCUUGUCGCUCUAUGUUCCCUGACGCCUUUUCGAAGCGCAUGUAUGAUGGCGCGUUUAAGAGGCCGACCACCGCUGUCAAUUCAAUUUCGGGAAUGUCGUCAAAGGGCUCGUUAACGAGUGCCCGUGCACCGUCGUGUAUUCGAAUUGAUCGCAUAAAGUGGGGGAGAGGGAGAGACCUGGUCCGUUGCACGCGUGACACAGAUGUUCUCCGAACCGCCCCUGCAACCCCAACCCCCGAAUUAGUCCGCCUCUGAUUAAAUGUUUGAGUCUGCACAGUUUCCGAUUUCGCCUGAUCGAGACUUUCGAUCCCUGACGUUCACUUGUUGGACCGCUCUUCAUCGUGGAUGGCGAUUCAUGGCGAUCUUCUACAAUUUUAGGGAACAGUAAAGUUAGGGUUCAUUGCGCAUAUCUUUGAAAACAAUAGCGUAAUUCUUUUUAGUAUUUUCUUAGGAAAUAUUUUGUGAAAAACUAACAGUACAGUAUUUUAUUUAUUUCUGCAGCUGAAACCGCAAGGCUUGAAUUUACAUCCCUUCGAAGAAUCUAAAGAACACGAACAAGCUUCCUUAAAAAGAAUGAAGAAAUCAACAUUGAUUUCGUUACCGGCCCUUCGUGACGUGUGCGACCUCGAUGAAUAAAUUAGGAUGUGCCACUUCGCCGCCACAGAUCUCCGGUUUAAUUGCGCGAAAGCCACUCGGAGCACAAUAACGACCGGCGAAAGUUCUCCCGAACAAUUUACCCCGACGCGUUAAACACACACUGCCUUCCGUUCCGACGGCGAUCGAUCUGCCUUACACCGCGCAAUGUCUUUCCAUCGAGGGAUCCUUGACCGGGUCUAAUUAUGACGACUACACUCGGCUAACGAUACGCCUUUUACUGUCGCGCGUCGUCCGUGCUCGGAACCUUCCUCGAGAUCACGCUAAUCCUUUCAUUUCAUUUUUCCGUUGGGGAGUUGGAGGAAGAUAGUAGUCAGCGGAGUCGAGUCUUUGUUCAAGGUAGCUUUAAACGAAGAAACACAGAGGCGUAAAAGGUAACCUAGGAAGGUUCUCCCGCUUAUCCAGAAUCUUGCGAGAAGAGAAUAAUUAAUCUGUUCCGGAAAGUUACAGUUACAGUUCCUUUGCGGGAGCGAAUUCAACACGCGAUAACGAUUGCCCAAAGAGGAGCCACCUCCCACCUGGAAUUAAAACGUCCAAUCUCCUCGGGCUUCUAAGCGAUUCUUGGUUCUCGGGCUAAUUCAUCGGGAUUGUGCAACGAGCAGAAGUAACGAGCGGUUCCAUUUGCGCGAAAACGUCCCUCGUUUAAAUAUCCGUGGGUAUAGGACGUCUGGCUCGCUAACGCCCACGCGUUAUCGCACCGACAUCAAGCUCAUUGAGGUUCGCUGACCAGGAACUAAUCGGUUGACCCGAAGAAAUACCGCUAAAUGCCUGCAGUUGUAUCGUUUCGACACGCGCAAUGGCAUCCCCGUAGCAGGGGGUCCCCAGGGGAAAUUAAAAAAACUAGGCUACCGGGAACUUGGAACGCGGAUAUCGGUAAAUCGGCCACAAUCUAAACAAUUACAUGGCCGAUUCUUGAAUUCUUUCUGUUCACGCGGGGGUUGCAAUCGCUUCACCCUUAAUUUUCUUCUUUAAUCAUUUGUAAGUUCAAGACUCUCUACAUUUAUCUUCCGCAGGUGCUCACCCCUUUGCUUCUUACAACUUGGCACUGUCGCCAUCAGCCUUUAUCCAGGUCUCUAUAAUUAUAAUCGCGUACGAGGGAGAACUUGUGAUAUAUUGGAUUUAAUACACCUGAGCUGGUGUAACUCUUGAUCCCGGAAGUCGCAAAAAGGAGGACACGAGUUCUGUCGGUAGCAAAAAGGCGAAGAUCUACGAUGGAACAAUUCUAAGCAGAGCGGUGUCAAGCCGACCCUCGUGCUCUCGGACAAGAGAUGCAACACAGAUAAUAGAAUAAAUACGCCGGUUCUACGUGGGAUUCCCGUUUCGAUCCGCCGAGCGAGCUAAUACCGAAUUACGGAGUUCGCUUGUUCCUGCGACACGGCCGCCAUCGCAGUGUUUAUUCCACCCGGUUGCUCGACGGUCGUCGCGAUGAAAAUCGGUACUUUCCACCGAGCUACGCGGAAUUUCAUUUAGACCUCAACGUUCCUUUUCUUUCGAACACUGCACGCCUUGAAACCCGUUGGAUCGUUUCACCGAGGGUUACUGUGAACAAGCUCUAAGACACGCAGAAAAUAUUAUACAAUCUAUUGAGAAAUUGUAAAGCUGCUGAGAAAACUGCAGUAUCUUCAGAAAAAUCAUAAAGGCUGCGGAAAACUUGUUACAGCCACUGGGACUCAGCAAGACUCAUUAAAAAUUAUGAAGUUGAUGAAAAAAUUGUAAGGUUCAUAAGAAGAUAAUACCAGGAUUAUGAAAUUAAACAUGCUUGAAGCAGAUUUAUAUUUGACGAGGAAAAGAGAGAAUGAAAGUGAGCUUCAGUUUUCCGGUGUGAUUCCACCCUCCCAAGAGGGUGGCCGUCGUGAAAAAGCUGCCGGGGAGUAAUAAAUGUCUAGAAACGCUUAGUUAAUAAUUCGUAAAGUCCGUUAUUAGCUGGAAGUGUUACUAUUUGAUGAACAGCGAGCCGAUAAAACUAGAGACAUCGCGACAACGACGCGGAAGUGGCUGCCUGGUUUAAUAUUUCUCGAGGAUUAGUUUUCCUUUUAAUCACCGAAUCAUUCGUAUUCUCUGUGUAAGCUCCCAACGAGGACCUCGGACCUAUUUCGAGAUAAUGGGAAUCAUAUCCGAGGACACAAAUAUCUUUAUUCAAGUUUUAAUUAAGCGGAUUAAAAUAUACCGAUACGGGGGUGGUUGGCCACCCUCGCGACGGCUCUCCACUCCAAAGGGACAACCAAUACCGUGCCAGCUCCGAAAUUUUCUCGACUCGUCAGCGAUUGGCAGAAGCCUGAUCAUGAAUCGAAUUAUCGGCUAACAUCGUCUCCAUGGAAAAUUCGCAAUUAAAAUGUCUCAUCGAGCGUGACAAGCCGCCAAACGAUUCUGAACGAUAUCGUCGAUUAUCCAGGAUGAUAAAUUCUCUUUAAAACUCACUUAAGUUACCGAGAAGCACUUUUUCGUGAAUAUCUAUGGACCUCGUUAUCUGUUUAUUUUAAAUCAACAGAUAAAAUCCCGCGUAUCUCCCACUUUUCUGUACGCGCAAAUUAGUUCGUCUAUUGUACGGUAGAUGUCUUAGUGGUGAGAACUGUUCUCGCUGUCAAUGUUUGUCUACCAAGGUUACUAAAGGCCUGGCAGUGAUACAGGGUGCUUAAAAAGGGUGCUCGCUACUUUAAUGGCGCGUCGGUACGUCCUGUAAGGCGUGCUGGCGGGGUAUGGCCAUCAAGACAUACCUAGUACGUAAUUUUUGUAAACGCGAGGCUGUUGGCUGCCAACUUUGCACCGACGCCUCCAGUAGUCAACUCUAAAUGCAAAUUAAGUGGAUGCUUCGUCGAUUAUUCCACUUUACAGUUAUUUAAUCAGAAUAUGAUCGAGUACGAAAAUUGCCCGCAAAAUUAUUGGAGAAUGAAAUUAAAUAUCACUCACACGCGUAGUAUUUGUGGCAAGAACAAUUAAGCUUUGAACAAUUAAAUAGAGCGAUGUAGAAUGACCGACUUGUAUUUUACAGAUGUAAAUUUGAAGAGAAGAACGAUUCGUGUUAUUUUUUUCGAGACAUUUAACGAUGGUAAACACGAUACCGACUACGCGAUGAACAUAAAUACAGUCAGAACUGCUAGAUUUAUGCAGUUAGAGCACAUCGGUGCAUCCUGGGAACAAUCUGAUACAGCCGUGUUUUAAUUACCGUUGCUAAAAACUAUACAUGUAUUCGGUGGACAAGUUCUGGGAACUUCAUUAAAUCACCCCCUACUUAGGACUUUCUCACUAAGUACAUAUUGCUAGAUUCUCUACAAUCUUUUUGUAAGGUCUUCGAAAUUUUUUUAAGACCCCUACAUUACUAUGAACAAUUUUUAUCAUUUUUCCCAUUUUGGUUUCACAAUUUUUCCGAUGAUCUCAACAUUUUUCUAAGAAUCCGUACGCUAUUUCAAACAGUUCUAUACAUCACUCGUAAGAAUAAUAACUUUCCUGGAAGGUCUUUACACUAUUUGAAAUAAUUCUAAAUGUUUUCCAUAGGGUGUACGAUUUUGUUGCUGGUUCUAAAAAAUUGUUAGGGAUCUCUACGCUAUUUUGAACAGUUUAAUAUGUUUUUUCAAGUCAGUUCAAUAUGUAUACAAUUUAUCUGCAGGUUCCAAAAUCUUCUUGGAGCUGUCCACAUAUUCAAACACGUCACACACCUUGCAUGUCCUAAACCAACAAUCGUUGGACACAAAAAAUGCAAUUAAUCACCGUUCUCAAUUUACGGAGCGCCUGACGAAGACGUAGCAUCAUAAUCUGCAAGAAAGAUCGCUCGACGAAGGGUUAAGACUACGUUAGAUCACGGGGGAUCAAAGGCGACCUUACACCCACGUAUCGUAACCGGAAGUGGCGUUUCAGGGUGACAAAUCACCGACGUGAGAGCGUGUCUGGUCUCGUCUUACCUGAAGGUAGGGGACAGCCUUGCAAAGAGUGAGUCCUAAGAACCAUGUCUCGGUGACGUCCCAGAGCACAGUGAACGGCAGACAGAGCAACAGCACCAGGAAGUCGGCGAUAGCGAGGUUAACGAUGAAGUAGUUGGUGACGGUCCUCAUCGAGUGAUUCCUGUAGACGGCAAUGCAGACGAGCGCGUUUCCGACCAGGCCGAUCACGAAGAUCACCGUGUGGGAAGCGAUCAGCGCCCAGUCCCAGAAUUUCGGGAAUAUGUAGUUCAUCAUGCGGUCCACGUAUUCCUCGUUCGAAAUGCAGUAGACGUUGCUGCAGUUUGUUGCGUUGUUGUAUGUUUCUGGAUCGGUGUAAUCCAUCGACGAAUAGUCAUCGUCGUAGUCAGCGGCCUGAACCAGUGUCGAGACCACUGACACCAGCCAGCCGGCUAUCAGCGGCUCGAUACCGGCCGUUUUAAUUAACAUAGUCAUUGUAAUUAAAGAUAUCUGUUCUCACAACCCUCUCGCGCCCCGGGUCGCCAUUAUGACACCACAAUUUUUGUAAAACGGCCUCGAAACGUUCAGGAGAAUGCACUCCACGAAAAAGUUAUCUCGAUGCUGUUUUUUCACUUCUCGACAAUUGUUAAAGCAUUAAUGGUAAUUCCUCUUUGUUGGUCGACGACGAAAAAGCCAUUGCCCGACAAGUGUCUCCGAGUCGUCGGGCUUCGUCCUGUUAGCCGAAAAUAACCGAUUUCACGGAGAUUAGCUCAGAGAUCUUAGCCGGCGAUAAGGGCAUUCGAAACGUUUAUUCCGGAAAUUAAUCCUAAUCUUCUUUAUAGAGUUUCUCGGAUAACUUUUCUCUAGUCUAUAGUCUCCUUCCUAAGCACGUGCUGUGCGAUAUCAUUGCGUAGGAAGUAGAAAGAGUAAUACAACAAGGGACUACGGGACUAGGUAGCACGACAUUUAUGUGAUUGAGUGAAAGAAUCGAGUUCCCACAAAUAUCCUGUUUCCCGUUGGUCAAUGUUAGCAUCGAAAAUUCAGGAAUUUUAUUAAGUUAUGAGCUAGAUAUUAUGAAUUAGUCACUCUUGCUGGAAUUUUAGAUUCACAUGUCAAGACUGAUGAUUUUUAAACAUGUAUUUGCUUUCCUUCGGCAGAAACUACUCUUCUUUGAUUAGUUUUAUUUCUCAGAAAUAGGUACUGCGGAAAAUUCUAUGGUUACUUUAAAGAUACUCUGUCGUCAUCAAUUUUGCAAUGAAACUCGAUUUUCAAAGAACCUCGUCAGCCUUCGCCUCGCACAAUUUAGCACUACUUGUGGUGGCAAUUUUCUUGCGACAAAGACGACGGAACAACGGCAAAACGAAGCCAAAAUUCGGGGAAAAAGUUUUUGCGCCAUGAUUUCCCAAGUGUCGCGGCUAACGAACUUCUUCUGACAACUGGCUGGUCCGGUCACCGGCUGUCUAAGGAAUUAUUCGCGAUUUAGGUCGAGUUCGCCCUCUUCAUCUGCCACCCUCGCCCAUGAAAUCUUCCUCAACCGUCUGCUGCGAUAAAUUCGCUCUAGAAUACCCCGAAAAACUUUCGCUUCCGGUUUUUUGCUACGAGAAUGAGCAAGAUGCACCUGCAACAUUUAUAGUUUCUAACUCUUGCAAAAAUUGGAUUGUAUAUCUAUCUAGAUCAUCGUUUAAAUUCAAUCUCCUUCUGUCAGAUUGCAGGAACAUGACACGAGUCGACAAGAGCAGAGCUAAAACCGAAAGUAGCUGGUUUGUUCAUAGAGCCAUUUAAUUUCUGAGUUUAAUCAGACUUUUUGUCGGACGAUUUCGCUCUCCUUUGGACUGUUUGUUUCGGAAACUGAGUUUGGGGCGGAACUCGAUUGCAAGGUCGGCGCAGAACCGGCAAAACAGAUUUUACAGAGGAAGUUAAUAUUAGAAGCAGGCGACUCUGGUUUAUUUUCGAGCUAGCGGCGAGUCGCGACGAAUCGCUCUACGACGACUGCAAACCUUCAAAACUUCGACUUCCGGUGCCUUCAGGCAGACCUAGAAAUAUCCUGUCAGGAGGAUCGAACCUCUCCAACCUCUUCAGAGAUCCUCCGGAAAUUGAGGAGUCCGAAGCUGGCUCGUACUCCCACGAUCACGUUUGCUUUAAACGCUCAUCGUUCAGGGAUCAUUCCAAUUUUAAUUGUACCGACCACCAGUUAACACGAGUUAUUACCGGUGAAGUUACCGCGAAGUUUACUUAACCGUCUCCGUAAUGGGAUUAAUUAAUUCAUCCUGUCGCAUCUCUCCCGGAAAAAUCAUUCACCGUUUGAUGUCGACGGAGAUUUACAUUUUCAUUGUCCCCUAGAACGAGACAAUCUUUUCUCAGCGAAUGAAAUGAUCUUGUCCCCUAGAACUGAAUAACCUCGUCCCCUAUCUGUCGUUAUUUCUUUCAGAUUGUGCCUUUGGAAAGGAAAGGAAAAGAGAGUAACAAUUCUGAACGGCGAAGAUAAAACGAAACGUAAGAUACGAAAGGAACAUAAAAUCAGUAGGAGGGAGAAUAUGAGCGCUCGGAGGAAAAUAUUGGGAAGGUGCUGUGAAUAGAUUUGCAGGCAGCGAGAUUUGCGGGCAGAGGGAGAAUAGAAGAUAGAAUUUAUAAAGAAGAGAAUUCAUGCGCCCUUUAGAUAACAUGGAAAACAAUGUCCGAUUUGUGGCAUGGAGACGUGAAAUAGAUGAAAUCACGCCCAAGAGACGCGAGGGUAGGGGACUAGAUGGAAUAUUUCUGAUGUUUCCGAACCAUGAGGGAAAAUAAGGUCGGCCAUAUUUCCGAUGGAUUUCGGCUCCAGGCGUUAUUCCGAGCUCUGUAUCGAAAAUUGUACGUUGGAGCAAUCGUUACCUGGGUACCCAUGCAGGCAUAGGUGCUGAAGAACAUGUUUCGGACAGACUACCUUUUUCCUUCUUGAGAGCGAUAAUAUGCGAGCUGUUUUAUUUUACGACAUCACGGAUGCACAAUCGAGGACGCUUCGGUGCGAUAGAAACGCGGGAAAACGGUCUGACAACUUUUUGAUUAAUUGGUCGAGGUCUGGCCGGCCGUGUGUCAUCGACAACGCGGUCGUGGCAGAAAAAACGCACAAGAUUAAUAGAAUAAUUGAGGUUUUUCAUUAAACCCACGACAACGUUCACCAGAUUUUCGCGUGCAAGGAGCGCGACGAAUCUGUUAAUUGCUCGCAAAGCAAUUUUCAUUAAUUAUUUAAUGAAAAAUUAUUCUAGGCCAUAGUAAGUAGCAGAAAAGUUACUAAAAAUUUCAUUACAUCCUCCAUAGCCGGAUACAUGAAAAUCGACGAAUAUCCUCAGGUGGGAACGAAUUCCAAAGACUGGAAAAUUCACUUAAAAGUCUCUGAAGAAAACUCGGAUGGUCGGCCACUUUUAUUUUCAGCGGCUUCUGGGAUGCGAGUUCAUGAGUUCAGCGAUAACCAACAGAUACGCGUCUUACGGAGGAUCCUCCAGUACGGAACACAGAACAACGGAUCUUUACGUCGUCGACCAAGUGGCAAACUUUUCUGACGAUGCACAGAUUCCACGAGCAGAGAAUCCUGAUAUCCCUUCGGACCAAGGAAGUGGUUCGUGAGCGUGUAACUAAAGAAAUCGAGAAGGAAGAGUGUCCGGAUUUCAAAGGCCAGGCGAUCAAUUUCCCAAGCUUCUUUGCCACCGUUUCUUCACGUCGACUUCUUAUCGUUAGCUUCCCAAGCUAACAGGAUUUGUAACAUCGCAGGAAACGUUUUUUUCGGAAACGGUGAACAAUCUUUUAGGAUUUUCUGGUCGCGCGAAGGCGAAAUUCGUAAAGGGACAACACAGAGGACACACUGCGGGAGCGAAUUCAGCACCGUCGCGUCGACGUGCUACGUCGGGUUUCGAAAGGGAUGCGAACGCGUCGACGGACUCUGCGAAACUGAGGUGUACACGCCGGUUUAACGAGCGCGUAGGUGCAGCACGCACGUCGGUCGCAAACACACUGACUGUUUUCCAAGUUUCGCGAAUCACGUCGAUGCUGUUUACAUAGAUGAAGACGGAGUUGAACCGCUCGGAAAUUUCUAUUCGAGGGUCACGGUGAAUCAUUUUGAAGCAGAAUGAGGGACCACGUAAAUUGCUUCAACUACAACCUGCAUCCUUCGAUAGUAAAACAGGCAGAAGAUCGAGCGUAAAACCUGAACUUUAUAGACAAUAUCUCAAAUGUGCAGCAGAGUUUUAUUUGACAAAAUAGAACUAGAGCCGUAUAAAAAUC